GCUGGGUGCUUAGUUAAAGUGUGUGCUGUAGAACAUAAAGGAUCAUUCCCCAAGCAGUGAAGCAGCUUAAAAAUGAUCCAACAACUAAAACUGGUCCAUUCAGAAAAGAGCUGCUGCUAAAAAAAGUGCUUCUGCUGGUGUUCUUGUGGUCAGCAAGCUAACUAAUGAAGCUCUGCAAUGUGAAAGUGUUAUUCACAAGCACACAAAAGCGGCUCUCUAAAACCUUCAACACCAAACAGUGUGAACUUUCCAUUUAAAUGAAGCAAGAAGAACUGUUUUUAAGGAUGACUGGGACAUAAAGUUUACCAGGACAGCAGAUACAGCACUUAUUUUUCACUGAACAAAGAAGGAGGCAGCUUUCUUCUGGCAGUUCAGGAACAAACUGCAAGAAGUCUACACUGACCUUUCACCCUUCAGUAAAGGCUCAAACUUGUGUAGAACUAUUGCACAUUUCUGAGGAGGAAGAGGAAGUGAGAGAAGUCAGACUCAAAGAGGAGACAGAGGGCGACAUCAUCCAGUAGGCGGGGCUCUCCUUCUGCACUGUGUUCAACCAUUGUGUCAAUAAUAAGUGCUGCUGUGAAGAGAACAAUUCUCAGACUGAAUGUUGAACAUCAGCUAGUUUCUCCUGUUGAUUUAAACCUUGUUGUACAGAUGGAACAUUGGCUGUGGAUUAUUCUUGCUGCUCUUUUCUUUGAGUGUAAAGGAGAAGACAAAGUGAUUCAGGAACAAAGAGAUGUCAUUGCUGCUGAAGGAGACACAGUUACACUUGACUGUAGAUAUGAGACCAGUUACACCAGUCCCACUUUGUUCUGGUACAAACAAAAAGUGAACAGUUACCCAAAGUAUAUGCUCAAAUCUUUCUCAGAAACAACAGAUAAAUCUGAGGAGUUCAACAAUGACAGAUUUGAUGCUGAAGUUGACAAGAAAGAAAAGUCAGUUCCUCUGAAGAUCCAGAAGCUUCAGCUGUCUGACUCUGCUGUGUACUACUGUGCUCUGCAGCCCACAGUGACAGGAAACAGCAAAACUCUGUACAAAAACCUUUGGAGCAAAGACAACAGAAUACUCCACAACAUCCACUAGAGGGAGCCACACACUGUUACACUUGUCUGGUUUG